GGUGGCUCAGUGGUAGAGUGCUUGCCUUGCAUGCAGGAGGCCCUGGGUUUGAUAACUCAGCACCA
rnacentral:tRNA from 1 species